UGCAAAUACAGUGAUGCGGUGUAAUUAUUUUUGUGGAGUCUAAAUCAAACACAAACAUUAAGUUCUCAUCACAAUAAAUACAUACAACCUAUUUUGCUUCAUCUAAAUCCGUUGAAAACAAUCGCUGUAAUUUUGUUCUUCUAUGGAAUCAAAAAAAAAAAAAAAAAACAAAUUGCAUCAAUCCAUCUAGAAGAAGGAGCCAAAUACUUCAAUAGAAUAAGCGAUUAUGUCACAUUCUUCAUCAUAAAAGAAGAUGACAAACAGUUAGCUGUAUGAUUGUAUCAACCGGUCAAUCUUUUGAAGGUUCUCUCAGCUGUUCAUAUAAAAGCAUGGAUUCGGCUGGAGGGUCUUCAAUUCCUGAUUCCUCAUUUUCAUGAUUGGCCUCCAACAUAGGCCUUAUCUUCUCAUAUUGAGCAUUUGAGAGUUCACCUUGAUAUUGUUCAAAUGCCCUUGGAUGAUUUUUGUAUUCAUUCAUCAAGCCAUUUUGAAGACUAGUUUUAUAUAUAUAUAUAUAUAUAUAUAUAUAUAUAUAUAUAAAAAUUAUGGUCAAUGGGAAGGUCCCAAUGACUAUUUUAUUAUUAAUAAAUCAAAAGGAGUCUAACACUUAAAAACAAAGAAACAAAAACUAAAGAAUACGUACCGAUAGAAAUGUUUAGAACUAAAAUUAGGAAAGUGUGCUCUUGUCUUUGGGAUUUCAUCUUCCACAUUGAGAAUCUGUAGGCUUCUACCCUUCUUCCUUUUGAUCUUUCUCAUCUGAGCUUUAAGAUCUGUACCAUAACAAUCCAAAUAAAGCUGAACUUUGUCUAUUUUCAUCGCAAAUUGAAGAUGUAUUCAUCUAAUUUGGUGUUGAUUGAAAGGUAUCUCAAUGUAUUGCCCUUGCACUUCAGGUGUUAGCAUCUGCUGCUCAUCAUUUUCUUUCAUGGCCCCAUCAGGUGGUUCUUCUGGUAUUAUUCGUCAUAAUUGUUCCAUAUCCGGCCAUCCAUAAGAGAAUUUCCCCACAACUGCAUGCUGCAAAUUUUCAAUCACAUCCAUUCGGGCUACAUCAUCUUCAGUACAUUUGACAUAAAGUUCCCUUUGUAAAAAAGAUAUUGGUUUGAUUGGUAUUUGUGGUAUUUGUUGUCUCUCUAGGUUUACUGUAUCAUUCAAAACUGCAGGUUUAAGUAGGCUAGCGGAUUGUAUUUUGGUAGGGUUGGUUUGUGGUAUAAUAUCAUAUGAUGUGGUUGUUAAUGAAGGCUGGCCAGCCACCAUGGUGGACUGACCAGCAGCCAUGGAGGCCAUGAUCACCGAUCUUGAGAUUUAUUUUUUAGGUUUUGCAUGAAAAUAGGAAGAGAGAGAAGAUAGGCUUUUUUUUCUUGUCCAGAAAAUACUUUCGGAGACUAGUUUCCAAGUACUCCUCCAAGGCUUUUUGUUUUUCAUUUCCUCCUUCAAGUAGACAUUCCAUCAUGA